rnacentral:rRNA from 1 species
CCCUUAGAUGUCCUGGGCCGCACGCGCGUUACACUGAUGCAUUCAACGAGCUUAUAACCUUGGCCGAGAGGCCUGGGCAAUCUUGUUAACGUACAUCGUGAUAGGGAUAGAUUAUUGAAAUUAUUAAUCUUGAACGAGGAAUUCCUAGUAAACGCAGAUCAUCAAUCUGCAUUGAUUACGUCCCUGCCCUUUGUACACACCGCCCGUCGCACCUACCGAUUGGGUGAGCCGAUGAAACUCUCGGAUGUAGGCUAUUCAUAGCCCGCAGAAGAGAUUUGAAUCGUAGCGCUUAGAGGAAGGAGAAGUCGUAACA